AAAAGAAUACAAAAUCUCUUCACCGCAAUUCAACCUACGGCCAAAAUGAGUCGCACUAGAGCGGCUACCGCAAUUCCAACUACGGUGCGGUCUGAAUCGCGCUUCCAACUGCGACACAAUAUGAAACGCUUGUGUUUACGGUAUUUCUAGCGAGCUCACACUUCAAGUGUGACAACCUAUGCAACUGCUCUUCCGCCUGCGUGUUCUCAAUCACUACGUCUCAACCUUCAUCUUAUCCAACCCAGAAAUGCAUUCAACCUAGUCCGGAGUCCUCUCAACCAUUACAAUUAAGACUUCGACCUUUGUCUGUGCUUCUCACAGGGGCACGGUUAGAAUAAUAGAAAAAUAAGGAGGUGCAGGGUGAGACCGGUGAGGUGUAGGGAGAAAAAGUCUAGAAAGAAUAAGAUUCUGAGUUAUCCUUAGCAGAGAAAACGGGUUGAAAGAGAUCAGAGAGAGAUGGAAGCAUCUGUGAUUGAGGUAGAGAGAAUCUUGAGCUACGGAUUCAUAGAUCGGAAGCUUCUAGAAGAAGCUCUCACCCAUUCAUCUUCCACAGGUGUUUCUUAUGAGCGACUUGAGUUCGUGGGAGAUCACAUUAUAGGGCUAGCCAUCAGCAAACACCUCUUUCUCGCCUACCCCCAGCUCGAUCCUGGCCAACUAUCUGACCUACUUGAUGCCAACGUCAGCAAAGAGAAGCUGGCACGAGUUGUCAUCCAUCGCGGCCUCCACCGUUUCAUCUGCCAAAGCUUCUCAUCUAUGCUCAGGGAUGAGAUCGAACAAUUUGAGAAAGUUGUCACCCUAGAGAAAUACCUCGUUGGGAUACACGGUGGAUCCGUGGGGGGCCCCAAGGUCCUUUCGGAUAUCGUAGAGUCCGUCGCAGCAGCUGUAUACUUUGAUCUGGGAUUCGAUCUGGAGAAAUUCUGGGAGGUUUUCUGUAAGGACCGUUCGUCUUUUUUCUUAAAAGAAAGUGGUGGGGGAAGGGGCUUCAUGUCCAACAAAGAAGUGGCAACAGCAGCUGGUGGGUGGUGGGUCAUUCCACUUUGAAGUGCUCCAACCACCAGGAAAUAUCAUCAUCAUCUUCUUAAUGGACACUGCACUGAGGAAUGGAAGGGGACGGCUGAGGUUCGUCCAGCUGGCACCAGUGCACGGUUUUUCUUUCCCUUUAAGGGAAGAGCCCAUGGGUUGAAAGGAGAAAUUGGGUUCUGUAUUUGUGGGAGUGGAAGCCUUGCUGCAAAAUCUGAGAGAGGUGAAGAGGAGAGAGAAAGAAUAAGUUAGACACUGUAACAGAGGGCUGGAACGGUAGAGGAGAAACACAAUGUAGAGAUUGAUUCAAGGUUUGCAAAGGAAGUCUUCAAGAGGAGACAAAGAGUGCAAGAGUAGCAUGGGCUUUGAAACAUCACGUCCCGUGUCCAGUACAAAAGAAAUAAAAGUGUGAUAUUCUUCUUGGAGAAGAUGCGCACAGGAGAAUAAGAAAAGUGUGUUGUAAUGAGAAAAAGAAAGCCAGCUACACACGUUCGUUACAGAGAGCACUUGGUGACGUGCUGGAAUGGAGAGUUUCAAAAGAAAGAGUUAAUUCCAGCUGCACGGUGUGUUGAUUCCAGAAGCACCCAGUAAACUUGAAGAUAGCAGCUGCCUCAAGGACCAUUCACCCGCCACCUUAGUUGAUGUAUGAAGAAUUGAUGGAGCAAAUGUUGCACGGAUUGCUGGAAAAGAAGCAACAGAGAAUGAAGCCGCAAGGAGUAGUGGUAUGCACAAGCUGAAGCGAUCAUUUCAGAGGGAGAAUAGCAGCAUACUGAUCCAGCAGCUUCACGUCCAAGCAGUCCAGCACGUUGGGGAGAAGGUGUCUCGGUUUUCCACUUCCAGCACUCUCACACGUCCACCAUGGCAGCAAAGAAUGAAGGUGCAGUAGCCACCUAGAGAAGUGAAGCUCAAGGAAGCUCAUGGCUUGAUGAUGAAUGAGAAGAAGAAAGCUAGAGGUUGUCACGACCAAAGCAGCAAGUGAUUUCAUUUUGGUAUUUUGUGUGCAUGAAGAAGAAAGGUGUUGAUUCAAUUUGAUGUCCAGCAAAGUGACUGCCAUGGGAGAUUACAUGGAGUUCAUCACGGAUGGGAAUAAGUCACGGCUGGAGCAAGCAAGGAGGCAGUCACCAUUGGAGAGUUGCUGGAAAUGGAAACAGCAGCAGUAGUGAAGUCACGGUCCAGCAUGGAGAGAAAGAAACACACUUCCUGGUACUAGAACACGGUGAUUGAUGAUGAAGAAUGGAGGUGCAGCUGCAACGUGUGAGGCAAGAAGAGUGACUGCCAUGGGGGAUUCUCGGUUGGAAAGAAGCAAGCAAGAGUUGAAGCAGCUAGAAUGAAAGGCACUCAUCACGGUCCAGCAGCUCCAGCUAGCAUUACCAUCCAACCUUAGGUGUGCACAUAUGAAGCAUCCAGCGUCUAGGAGGUUGCUUGGAGAAUGCGAUUGCAGCAAGAAACUAAGGGAAGUAGCUGGAGGUGGCACACAUUAAAGGAAGACACGGACCAGAGUUACAUUCCAGCUAAGUGAAGAACCACGGCUGGCUGGAAAGGAAGCUCACGUUGGCAGCAGAGAUGCAUGUCCAGUAGAGCUCACUCAUUGCUGGAAAUGAAGAAAGAAGCAUGAAAGAGAGAAGAAAAGAGGAGCGUUGAGAUGUGGUGAUUCAGAGUUGAAGGAGCACAUCCAGCAGCAGAGGAUGGAGAAGCUCACGUUCUCCAUUGCAGUAGUAAAUCCAGUACCAGAAGAUGGCAACACGAUCAGCCAACUCUGAGUAUCCAGUAUGGAGAAAGGCAUGGCCUUGAUGGAAGGAGGGUCCCUUUUGCUUGCUGAUUCACACGGUUUUGGAGUAGCUACAGCAGAGACCGUCCAGUCUAGCUGAGAUGAAGAAGAAGCAUACCGAGAGGGAGGCCUUCACGGUUCAGCAGAGGAGUCUUCACGUUCCCAGCCACGUCCAGGAGCAUCACGGGUCCAGCAAUUCAACAAAGAGAAGACUAGGUGGAGUGGCAAUGUUCUCAGUCUCGGUGCAGAGCAUGCAGAAGUUAAAAAAUGGAAGGCCCCACCUUAUUUUAUUCUUCACAUAAUGGAUAAUGCAAGAAAUGAAUAUAAUAGAAGUUAAUGGGAGACCAAGGUGGAACUGACAGAGGGAGAUACACUCACUUCCAGCCUGCAUUUGCACUUCCAGCCAUGGGAGAAAAGACCUCCAAGAAUAAAAGGAGGAGUCCCGGUUCUGCAGGGGGUUGACGGUCUGGGGGAGUCUUCCCCUCUUAGAAAUACAUAAUAGUAUGGAAUGUAGAGUGAUGUAAAGAGUUUUGGUAGAGAGAGCCGUGUGGGAGACCAUUGGAAGAAGAAGCUGGACCUGUCCAGCAGAGGAGGACACGGCAGAAGCUGGCUGCAACAGUAGAGGCUGGAACCGAUGUGAAGGACUGCUACUGUUGAUGCGCACAAUAACUGAUUUUGGUGUACACGCUCCUAGGUUCCAAUUUUAUGUUUUUAGUUGUAAUGAAUUUACAUUCAAUGCAAAAUGUGAUUUAAUUUCCUGAUACUCAAAUGCCAAUUCCAUUUUACUGUCUCUGUUUUAUUUGUUGCUGUAAUUUUAAUUAUGUAGCAAUU